UGCAGAUGAUAUGAGCUGAUGGACAGAAUGUUCUAGAACGGAACCUUUCCUAUCAUGGGUCUCUCAGGGUCUAGAACAGAACCUUUCCUAUCAUGGGUCUCUCAGGGUCCUGCCUCUGCAUUGACUUGGCCCCUGGGUCCCACCUUGUGAUCAGAGGUGUCCCUGAGCCCCUUCUCCACGGAGCAGGGCCAAGCCUACCAGAGCAAUCAAGAGUGUCUGCUUUUUCAGGGCCUGCCUCCUCUAAGAAGCCACCCCGAACCAGGAUUAUCUACUUCCUCCAAAUCCCAGCAGAGUGUAUACUGUGCCACUGGCUUGACGGGGAUCGUGGCGGGUCUGUGACUCUCUCGUGCGCUCUCACACCGCGUUAUUUCUGUUUUCAGUCUUGCGGGCUCCGCGCCCCCCGCUUUCCCUCCCGAGGGCUGUCCAGGAGACUCCAGUUAAGAUGUAUUGUCCGGGAACUGAAUAAAUACAUUGCAGCCACCUGGGUCAUUCUCGCACGCUCAGUUCUGACAAUGACUCUGAGAGGAAGAGUGGAGGGCGCCUGCCUCUCACACCGAGCCCGUGAGGGGAGCUUCGUUGGAGCUUCUCAGAGAGAUGGCUACUGCGGGGCCCCAGUGGACGGGUGCUGAUGCCACCUGAGCAAUCUGCUGGACAUCUGCUCGGGGGAUGAGCUGAAGGAGAAGCAGCUGUGCUGAGAUCAGCCAAAAGUUCCUGAGUCUUCUGGGAGAGAGGAUGCAUGGAUGUGUCCCAUGGAACCGGUGAAAGCUACAGGGCAGAGAGGGGCUGUUGUAGGUUGAAUUGUGUCCCUGAAAAAGCGUCCUUCCCAGGACACAAUGGCUCAUGAACACCUUGUUCCUGCCAAACGCACCAAGGAAAUGGGAAGGGCCACUGGGCUGAGCAGACGGGGAGACUGUGCCCUGGCACAGAUGCUGGCACUGCCGGGAUCGGCGCAGCCCUGCUUGCCCUCUGCCUCCAGGGAUGAAGGCUGGGCUCCUCGUUUCCCAGCCUUCCUUGCCAGCAUGGUUUCAAGUUAGACUCUGGCACUAAGAAGCACUUGCACAAGUACCGGAAGGCUGAAGGUGAUGCCAGCGUACAGCGAUGAUGGGAACCUGCUGGGCUGAAGGAGCCAGGGCCAUUUUAUACCAGGAGGAUACUUCCAGGUGUUGAUGCCACCCUGAUUUGCAGAAGGUUAUUAAAUAUUCCCUCAAAUAUCUCAUACCAACCAGUUGUCAUUCUCCAAGCUGCUCAAGACUUUUUUCUCCUUUUCUGUGAUGUUACAAAAAGCCCAUAGGAAAGUAAUUCCCUGCAGGGGAGACUGGCGGUGCACAGAGCUGACAAGUGGGCAGCGUGGGGCAGCUGGGCCAGGCUUUGGGAGCCGGUGGGUCUCUCAGAGAAGGGGCACCCGGACACCAACAUACCUCUUCCACCCCAGCCCAGGCCUAGAGGUCCAAGGCCUGCAGCCGAGCUUGUGCCGGUGCUCCUGUCUGGGCAGUGCAGUCUAAGCCCCCAGGGCUCCCUUGGUGCAGAAUAAAGUCCCAGGCUUCAUUCUGGCAUUUGAGGUUAUGCCUGACCUUCCUUAGUAUGCCUCUCCCUUCCCACCAGGCUGCUGCCUGCCUACCUGCUCCUGCUGCCAGACUCAGUUCACACCUAGACAUCCUCUGGCUCAGGAGAUGUUUAAGGUCUUCGGGCAUUGCCCAUGGAGUGCAAAUCCCCCUGGCAGGAAAAGCCUCUUGUCAGCCCACAGCUCCACUGACCUUGCUGGCGGAGGUGCAGAGAGCAGGUCCCGGGCCCUGAGGGGAGGUCGGGGAAGGGGCAGAAAGCACCCUGGACACAAUUCAUCCCAGCAGCCUCAGCCUUGCCCCAGAUUCCUAGAGCCUGGGCCUGCACGACUGCUUGGCACUGGGUACCACCCCUGCCUUCACCUCCCUUCCCACGGCACAUUCUGUCCUCCUCACCUGUGUC